GAUAAACGCUGGCGGCGUGCCUAACACAUGCAAGUCGAACGCUCUUUCGGGCAACCGGGAGGGAGUGGCGGACGGGUGAGUAUCACGUGGGUACCUACCUUGGGGUGAGGAAUACCGCCGAGAAAUCGGCGACAAGACCGCAUACGCUCGGAGACCCCGAGCAAAGUCUCGCCUCGCAAGAAGCGAGACGCCCGAAGAUGGGCCUGCGGCUGAUUAGCUAGUUGGUGGGGUAAACGCCUACCAAGGCGACGAUCAGUAGCUGGUCUGAGAGGAUGAU
rnacentral:rRNA from 1 species